rnacentral:rRNA from 1 species
GGAUAACCUACCCUUAGGACUGGGAUAACCCUGGGAAACUGGGGCUAAUACCGGAUAGGCAAUUUUUCCUGUAAUGGUUCUUUGUUUAAAUGUUUUUUCGCCUAAGGAUGGGUCUGCGGCCGAUUAGGUAGUUGGUUAGGUAAUGGCUUACCAAGCCGUUGAUCGGUACGGGUUGUGAGAGCAAGAGCCCGGAGAUGGAACCUGAGACAAGGUUCCAGGCCCUACGGGGCGCAGCAGGCGCGAAACCUCCACAAUGUGAGAAAUCGCGAUGGGGGGAUCCCAAGUGCCAUUCUUAACGGGAUGGCUUUUCAUUAGUGUAAAAAGCUUUUGGAAUAAGAGCUGGGCAAGACCGGUGCCAGCCGCCGCGGUAACACCGGCAGCUCUAGUGGUAGCAACUUUUAUUGGGCCUAAAGCGUCCGUAGCCGGUUUAAUAAGUCUCUGGUGAAAUCCUGUAGCUUAACUGUGGGAAUUGCUGGAGAUACUAUUAGACUUGAGACCGGGAGAGGUUAGAGGUACUCCCAGGGUAGAGGUGAAAUUCUGUAAUCCUGGGAGGACCGCCUGUUGCGAAGGCGUCUAACUGGAACGGUUCUGACGGUGAGGGACGAAAGUUAGGGGCGCGAACCGGAUUAGAUACCCGGGUAGUCCUAACUGUAAACGAUGCGGACUUGGUGUUGGGGUGGCUUUGAGCUGUUCCAGUGCCGAAGGGAAGCUGUUAAGUCCGCCGCCUGGGAAGUACGGUCGCAAGACUGAAACUUAA